UCUUUGACCCACAAUUCGACUAUGAUUUCACCAAUUUGAGAGACACCGAGACUUAUUACAGAGGUGGAGAGGUGUAUGAACGCCCAUGUGGUUGGCAGCGUUUUGCCCUCAAGGUCCAUGAUAAGUAUGGUGAAAAUACCUGGCUGGGAAACAGAUACCGCAGCACAGAGUCAGUGCCAGGAGAGUGGCCUGUGUCCUACCAUGGGACAUCCAGGGCAGGUGCUGAAGGCAUCAUCGCAGGAUUCUACAAGCCAGGCAAUGACAAG